rnacentral:misc_RNA from 1 species
AUAGCCGGUCGUAUGGCUGUACGCUAAUCUUAAGGUGAUUAGCUCUUUUUUUUUUUUACCUUAUUUGAUUUAUGGGUUUAACUUGCCUCUUCUAUUUUCAUUUUUCUAUUUUUGUUUACAUAUGCAAAUACUAUUGUCUGCAGAAAUUGCAACCAUCCAUUUAAUAUUCAGAAGUUUGAUGGGAUCUUCAUUUUGACAAUUAGACUUCAGGAAUAGAGGAAUUACCUUUGCAAUCAGUUAAGUUUCUUCAAUUUUUAUUUUGUUUGUGUUUAGAUUCUUAAAAAUUAAAAUUGUGACCGGGUUUUGUGUUGGGAUCGAGCAAUAGCAGCUUUUGUUGGCAGUGUUUACUAAAUGGCUGGUGGCCAUGCAAGAGGGAGACAAAAAGAGAAGAGAGAUAGAGUUGGUGGCUGGGGAAGAUGAAGAAGAAGACAG